ensembl:lncRNA LOC120096312 uncharacterized LOC120096312
CACCAGGGCCUUUCAUCAAAAGCAGGGCCCUGGCACAUCCCUCUGGAGCAGUCUCUGAUGAGUGCUACUGACUUAUCUCCGAGUCACUAUUAGUGACAUUCAGGGCAGGAUGACCUUCCUGUUCGGGGCUGUGCCCAGGUCUCAUCUGCAGGACUCGCCAGCAGCAGGUGUAUUUCAUCUCCUGGCUCCAAGCCUCGGUCUCUGAGAAGAGCCACCCAUACUCCAUCAGUGACAUCACCUGGAACCACCUGGAGAGAGGGGAUCCCCGCCUGCAAAAUGAGACCCUAUCUUCUGCCUGCUUUCAGGUACACUCAGAAAUGAUGAACUGAAUGUAUGAGCACUCUGUAACCUUGCCAAGUUGACAUGAAAUCAUCAUAAGAGCCCAUCUGUGAGAGAGCCCUAAGGGACCCUGGAGGAGAGUACCAGCUAACUGGAGUCUAUGUAUAAACUUACAUUCUGGUUAAGGUGAGUUCUGCUCCCCUCCCCAGUGCUCUUGUUUCUCCUUCUUUCGACAUGGAAGAAAUGUGAUGCUGGAGUGUUUGUGGUUAGCCAUGUUUUGUGAGUAAGAGAAUAAGUGCUGUAUCGUGUUUGAGAAGGGCACAACGACUAGAAAUUCCAG